rnacentral:rRNA from 1 species
AUCACGGAGAGUUUGAUCCUGGCUCAGAACUAACGCUGGCGGCGCGUCUUAAACAUGCAAGUCGAACGGCAGCAGGAGGUGCUUGCACCUUGCUGGCGAGUGGCAAACGGGUGAGUAACACGUAGGUAAUUUACCUUUUGGUGGGGGACAACCUCGGGAAAUCGGGGCUAAUACCGCAUAUGUUGCAUUGUCUGCGGGCAGUGCUAUAAAAGCCUUCGGGCGCCAUUAGAUGAGCCUGCGGCCUAUUAAAUGGUUAGUUGGUAAGGUAAUGGCUUACCAAGACCGCGAUGGGUAGCCGGCCUGAGAGGGUGAUCGG